UAUGAAGUGCCUGAAAAAGGGAUAUCUUGAUAGGAUACUAUAUGUGGCCCCCCCCCACCUUCAUAAUA
rnacentral:tRNA from 1 species